GGGAGAAAAAACUCAAAGCUCCAAUGUCAUUGAAAUGGUUUACCAGACAGACUAAAACAGAAAAAAGUCACAAGGUUCUACAUCAUUAAUAAUUUUAACUCGGGCCAAAACUCAAGAGCACAAAGCAAUAGAAGAUAAAUCUAAAUGCAUUAGAAUCCCCUGAAGAUAACAAGUACACAAAACCCGAAGUAAAAAGAGCUCCCUUCACUUCUUCUUCCCACCCUUGGCAGCAUCUCCAGCUUUGGUCUUUUUCACUCCACGGAUUUUCUUGGUCCUAUUCUUUCUUUCCUUCAUUUGCUUCCUCGACUUCUCAACCUUUGUGGCCAGUCCAUUCCUGAUGAGCCGAUACUUGGGCUCAUAUUUCUUGGCGCUCUCAACGUUGUCGUAGAUCAGGCCGAAUCCAGUCGACUUUCCGCCUCCGAAGUGAGUGCGGAACUUGAAAACAAAGAUCGAGUUCUGAUCCUUGACCUCGUAGAUCGAGGCCAGCUUCCCCUUGAGCUCCGCCUUCGAGACGUUCGCCCUCCCGGGGUGCAGCACGUCAAUGACAAACUGCUUGCGGGAGAGGAGGCGGUUGGUCAUGAAUUUGCGAGUGCG
rnacentral:misc_RNA from 1 species